GGGCGGUUAGCUCAGUUGGUAGAGCGUCACAUUGACGUUGUGAAUGUCACAGGUUCGACUCCUGUACCGCCCACCA
rnacentral:tRNA from 1 species